GAAAAAAAAACCAAGAGGCUUUUUAAAAAGUGCGACUCAAGAAGACAAGGAUCAAGAAAGUGCAGAUAGCGCCUGCAUUACAAAAGUUGGGGAGAUGACAGACAUUUGUGUGAAUCGAUUCACGUGACUCAAGCGGAAGCACCGUAACCCCAACAGGACAGCAAACCCUGGUCCUCGGGGUGCACUCUGUGUGUCUUUCAGCAGAUGCUGCGCUUCUCCGAGGCGGAUCUGUCCAUCCAUCAGUGGCGGGAGCCUCUCAGGGAGGGAGACAGGCUGGCUGAAGGCCUC